GUGCUUGCUUCGGCAGCACAUAUACUACAAUUAGAAUGACACAGAGAAGAUUAGUGUGGCCCUUGCGCAAGGAUGACACGCAAAUUCGUUGAAGUGUUCCAUAUUUUU